CCCCAAGUACUGGUUUUCAGCAGAUCCGGGCGAGGUGAGAGACUCUGCUUCUCUCUAUUGGCUACAGAGACAGAUUUACUCUCUAUUAGCUACAGAGACAGAUUUAGGGUCAGAUUUGAUUUGUUUGUAUUCAGGUAAUUAAAUGAUGUUGGAGGUUGUGAUGCAGCACAAGUAGCACAAGUUCAUCAUGUCCACUGCCCUUCAUUGAAUAUCAGGUUCAAUUUUCUUGAUUUUUUACUUGAGCUGUUACUCAUAGCAUUUUUUUAAUCUGGGUAUCAUAGAGUUGGUGUAGUUAAAUGAUGU
rnacentral:lncRNA from 1 species